rnacentral:lncRNA from 1 species
UAUAAUGUAGCUAAUGGCAUCUCUUAGACUUCCACUCCGAGUCGCUUUGCUGCAUAGGGGUCGUGUCGUGUAAAAGUGUUAGACUUAUAAACAUAAUCAGUCUAUCAAAAAUGUAUUUGCUAAAACUUUGAGGUUGUGCAAUGAAUAUGUCACGACCCAAAUUCUGGGCCAUGACCGGCGCAUGGGCCCAAUGGACGUAGUCCACUAAGCCCAAGCAAGCAUAUUUAUAUGACCUAUUCACCAUUCCAUCAAAAGUUACUAAGUUACAUUCCAUAACUUUGAAUCAAAAUAAUACUAAGCAUUGCCAACUCAUAGUGGUAUACCAAUCAAAAUGUACAUAUAUUGUCUAAACGUGCAAUUUAAUAAUUUACAUCACUUGUACAUAUUUACAACAAAAUGACUAUAGGUUUCAAGCGGAGUGACCACAGUGAAGAUGUAGCUACUAAAUGCCAUUGAUACCUACUAAAGAUACGAAUCUACAAAGACACCUCGACCUAGCUACCGGCUGCCUCUUGAUUUGACAACAUGAAGUUGAAAAUGGUGAGUAUAAACCCAAUGAGUGAACAAGGAAGGGAACUGUCACGACCCAAAUUUCGAGCCAUGACCGGCGCAUGGGCCGAAUGGAUGUAGUCCACUAAGCCCAAGCAAGCCUAUUAAUCUGACAUGUUUAUCAUUCCAUCAUAAACUACUAAGUCAUAUAUCAUAACUUAGAAUCAAAAUGAUAUUAAGCAUUGCCACUUCAUACUAGCAUACCAAAUAGGUGUAUAUACACUAUCUACACAUGUAUCUUAAUAAUUCACAUUAGGUUCGUCUAUACACAACAAAAGGAGACUCGAUGUCCAGUGGAGAGACUCAGACGAAUGUACAGCUACUGAAUGCUGAGACACUUACCAAAAGUCGAGUCUACAAAGGUACCUCGACCUAGUUACUGGCUGUCUCUUAAUCUGAAAACAUGAAGUUGAAAGCGGUGAGCAUAAACUCAGUGAGUGAACAAAAAAGGAACAAGCAUACCAUAAGGAAUGUUUAUCGAAAUCAUGAUGCACUCAUUUUCUCAAAACAAUGCAAUUUGUUCUAGUUCUUAGUAGAACCCCUCAUGUAAACCCCUCAUGAGUAAAUCACUUAAAAGAUCCAUACUCAACUAUGGUACCAAAGAAUCAAAAAAUCUACCAAAACCCACAAGUUCGCCAAAAUGGACAGAAAGUUUCUCAUUGCAGCGAACUUCAUUCUCGCUGCAGCGAGAACCAAGUCUGGUGAAGGCCCUCAAACUCGAGAAUUUCUCGCUACAGCGAGAAUAAAUCUCACUGCAGCGAGGAUCAGAACAUCAAGGAAAAAGUCUCAUUUUCCCUUAAAACAAGCCAUCUUGCUAAAAUAACAAUAGCAACAUGUAACACUUGUAAACUCCCAAAUUUCAACAAAUCAAAUGCUCACAUAUUUGCAUUUACAACCAUAUACCCAUCAUCAUCAUGCACACCAUCCCAUCAUCAUCAUUCCCAGCUCAUGCACACUCCCUACUCACACAUGGCUAGGUCAUCACCGGGUUAUGCGCACUCCCUACUUGCACAUAACCGGGUCAUCACCGGGUUAUGUGCACUCCCUACUCGCACAUAACCAGGUCAUCAUCGGCUUAUGCGCACUCCCUACUCGCACAUAGUCGAGUCAAUAUCAUUACACAACAAUGUAUUCAUAUAUAUAUAUCAACACAAUGUGGUAGUGCAUGAAUCAAUAAUAGUCACAUGUCACAACAUGAAGACAAUCUAUCAAAAGCUUGUUCCCAAGGCACUUGUUUUUAUGAAAAGCUGGAUAAUCCAUUUAAAUGUUUGACAAAUACAUUAUAUCCCCAAAACAAGUUUUGAAAUGCAAGUCCACUCACCGAUAUUGGGAGUAGAAAUAUUCCUAUUUUCAGUCCGCGGGUAUAGUCCUUUACCCGUAUCCAAUGGCUCACCACCUAGCCAUAAUCCAUGACACAUAUUCCAAUUAAAUUAUGUCUAAUAGUCAUAAGCUAUUUCAGGCUCGAUAUAUAUAUGAUAUGAAAUUAAAAAUGCACAAGUGGGCAUCUAGACUCGGUAUUGGCGUAAGUCGAUUUUUCAUCCGAUAAAUUAGCCAAUGUGUCCAAUUUCACUCCAACUUGCUCCAUUUCUUUUUCAAUCCCUCAAUUCACCAAGCACAAACUAAUUAACACACAAUUAGGCAAAAUUUAUCUUCAUUUUUCUUCUUGGAACUUUGGCCAACAAUGGUACACUAACUCUGUGAUUUUUCCUACUUAAUUUUCUCACCAUUAUUCAUUAAUUCCUACACCAAAAACUAUUAUUUCUUAAUCAAAUCACCUAGAAUAACAUCCCAUUCUUCCUCAUUAUUCACUUAGAGAAUUCGGCUAUUGAUGGGCACCAAACCUUUGGUGGUUUUCUUCACUUGUUUUCAUGCUACACAUCAUUAAUCACCUAAAAACACUAACAUACCUAAAAAUCAAACCAAUCCAAGAUCAUUCUCUCUCCAUACCCAUUUUGACUACCACUUAUUCACUAUGAAAUCAUGUUUCUCAACCAUAGAAAUAAGAAAAUAAAGCAUGGGUAUUGUAAAUCUCAAGUAAAAAUAAAGAAUUUUCACUUUACCUUGCUUAAUUCCUUGGAAUCCCACACUUUUUCUUCAAUUUUCCCACCUAGGGUUUGUGUUCUUU